rnacentral:rRNA from 1 species
GACGAAUGCUGGCUGCGUGCUUAACACAUGCAAGUCGAACGGUGAAAGGGAGCUUGCUCCCUGGAUCAGUGGCGAACGGGUGAGUAACACGUGGGCAACCUGCCCCUCACUCUGGGAUAACUCCGGGAAACCGGGGCUAAUACCGGAUACGACCUGGUGCGAAAUCGCACCGGGUGGAAAGAACUUCGGUGAGGGAUGGGCCCGCGGCCUAUCAGCUUGUUGGUGGGGUAACGGCCCACCAAGGCGACGACGGGUAGCCGGCCUGAGAGGGCGACCGGCCACACUGGGACUGAGACACGGCCCAGACUCCUACGGGAGGCAGCAGUGGGGAAUAUUGCGCAAUGGGCGAAAGCCUGACGCAGCGACGCAGCGUGAGGGACGAAGGCCUUCGGGUUGUAAACCUCUUUCAAUAGGGACGAAGCGUAAGUGACGGUACCUAUAGAAGAAGGACCGGCCAACUACGUGCCAGCAGCCGCAGUAAAAC